UACAGAGGGUGCGAGCGUUAAUCGGAAUUACUGGGCGUAAAGCGUGCGUAGGCGGUAAUGUAAGUCGGGUGUGAAAGCCCCGGGCUCAACCUGGGAAUUGCAUUCGAGACUGCAUUGCUUGGGUGCGGAAGAGGGAAGCGGAAUUUACGGUGUAGCGGUGAAAUGCGUAGAUAUCGGAAGGAACACCAGUGGCGAAAGCGGCUUCCUGGUCCAACACCGACGUUCAGGCACGAAAGCGUGGGGAGCAAACAGG
rnacentral:rRNA from 1 species